AGUGAACGCUGGCGGUAGGCCUAACACAUGCAAGUCGAACGGCAGCACAGUAAGAGCUUGCUCUUACGGGUGGCGAGUGGCGGACGGGUGAGGAAUACAUCGGAAUCUACUUUUUCGUGGGGGAUAACGUAGGGAAACUUACGCUAAUACCGCAUACGACCUACGGGUGAAAGCAGGGGAUCUUUGGACCUUGCGCGAUUGAAUGAGCCGAUGUCGGAUUAGCUAGUUGGCGGGGUAAAGGCCCACCAAGGCGACGAUCCGUAGCGGGUCUGAGAGGAUGAUCAGCCACACUGGAACUGAGACACGGUCCAGACUCCUACGGGAGGCAGCAGUGGGGAAUAUUGGACAAAGGGCGCAAGCCUGAUCCAGCCAUACCGCGUGGGUGAAGAAGGCCUUCGGGUUGUAAAGCCCUUUUGUUGGGAAAGAAAAGCAGCAGGUUAAUACCCCGCUGUUCUGACGGUACCCAAAGAAUAAGCACCGGCUAACUUCGUG
rnacentral:rRNA from 1 species